UGAUGGCGACCGGCGCACGGGUGAGUAACGCGUAUGCAACUUACCUAUCAGAGGGGGAUAGCCCGGCGAAAGUCGGAUUAAUACCCCAUAAAACAGGGGUCCCGCAUGGGAAUAUUUGUUAAAGAUUCAUCGCUGAUAGAUAGGCAUGCGCUCCAUUAGGCAGUUGGCGGGGUAACGGCCCACCAAACCGACGAUGGAUAGGGGUUCUGAGAGGAAGGUCCCCCACAUUGGUACUGAGACACGGACCAAACUCCUACGGGAGGCAGCAGUGAGGAAUAUUGGUCAAUGGCCGAGAGGCUGAACCAGCCAAGUCGCGUGAAGGAAGAAGGAUCUAUGGUUUGUAAACUUCUUUUAUAGGGGAAUAAAGUGGAGGACGUGUCCUUUUUUGUAUGUACCCUAUGAAUAAGCAUCGGCUAACUCCGUGCCAGCAGCCGCGGUAAUACGGAGGAUGCGAGCGUUAUCCGGAUUUAUUGGGUUUAAAGGGUGCGUAGGUGGUGAUUUAAGUCAGCGGUGAAAGUUUGUGGCUCAACCAUAAAAUUGCCGUUGAAACUGGGUUACUUGAGUGUGUUUGAGGUAGGCGGAAUGCGUGGUGUAGCGGUGAAAUGCAUAGAUAUCACGCAGAACUCCGAUUGCGAAGGCAGCUUACUAAACCAUAACUGACACUGAAGCACGAAAGCGUGGGGAUCAAACAGGAUUAGAUACCCUGGUAGUCCACGCAGUAAACGAUGAUUACUAGGAGUUUGCGAUACAAUGUAAGCUCUACAGCGAAAGCGUUAAGUAAUCCACCUGGGGAGUACGCCGGCAACGG
rnacentral:rRNA from 1 species